rnacentral:tRNA from 2 species
GCGGUCGUGGCGGAAUGGUAGACGCGCAGCGUUGAGGUCGCUGUGGGAGCAAUCCCGUGGAAGUUCGACUCUUCUCGACCGCACCA